rnacentral:piRNA from 1 species
GAUGAAAAUACAUGUUGUAGAUA